AUGACUUUGUGGUAGGAAAAGACCGGAUUCAGUGGGCAGAGAGGGGACGUUUAGGACCUGAAGUCCCUGGGUGGGGAAAAACACGCAUUUUGGAACAAUGCUGGGAGGGCCUGACCAUAGCGAACCCCUUCAGGUGUGUGGUUCCCCUUAAGCGUGUACCAGGCACCAACCUCCUCCCCGUCAGGUCCCCCUCAGGAAUGUGACAAAAGACCUGGCUAAAACUAAGUAGCAGGCCAUAAAACGUAUGACCCACAAGGGAUUGAUAUGGCCACAGACCACCCCACACACAAGGGGGUCGAGGCAAUCGGGAAUGGACAAACCAGCACCUAGAGUGAUCAAGUCAAUAAGGGUAGGACCUGAGAAGGAACGAGGGGGAAGGGAAGAGAGGGCUGACUGGAACCUUCUAAAACAGAGACCCUCGCCUAGAGGCCUCGGGCAUUCACUUUCGAACGCCCCCUCUCUGCAAAGAGACCUUUGCUACUGCCCUUCCUUUCUGAUCUUCUACUCUAAUCAACUGGCCUGCUGCUCAUUUUGUGUCUCCCUCUUCAUUCUUCGAAGUGGCGAGACAACAAACCCCGGGUACUGAGGUACUAAAUAAUCCCGCACCGAUUUGGCCCGAGUGAUGUGCUCCCUGAGCCCUGAGCUGGAAGAGGCCUCCUGUGUCUCUGCAGGAAAAUGGGUGAAUGUGGCCCAUCCACACCAAACAAGGGAUGCUAAGCGGCCAGGAGAACACACAAGCCCUGGCCACCCCCAGCAGCGGGGGGGAGUGGCUGAGGCAGCCAGAGAAGGCACAUGUCACAAUCCACCUGAAUGAAGCAAAGCAGCCAAAACUCGGUGCCUCAGCCGAGAGGUGCCCACCUGGGAGUUAAACCAUGAAGCCACAAAAGUCGGGCCACCAGUCCUCCCCCAGAGAGACGUUGCUGUCGGAGGAACAGUACGUGGUCGCCGGGCUGCUGGGCCCCCCCCCCUUGUGGACUUGGGUGGUGAGGGAAGGUGUCUGUACCAUAGUGAAUCUGUGACCCCCCCCCCGACACACACACACACACACACCCCUACAUAUGUAUACGGACACUUCGUAUGUCCUCCAUACGUAGAAGCCGCAAUUUUAAAAUGGAAAAACAGGAACAGACUGUUUGGCAAGGUGACGAGUUAUUUUCAAAAGAGGGCCAGAGCCCCCACUCUGUUCCUCAAACAUCCGGGCCCAUUGUCACAGGUGGGUUCCUCGGGCCAUACCCAGUGGCCCCUGCGCCCUCGCCGGUAGCAAGUAAGGUGAAAAGCAGGUGUCUCCCAGCCACGUGUGUUCUAGUUGCCUGAACCCUCAUUCUAGAAGGGCCACGGACUCCUGCCUGGCAAUUCCAAGUGGCAUUGGCACACGCCAACACAGGCCACACUGCCCCCCACUGUGGCAGGUGAUGGAUGACCAGAAGGGCCAACAGAAGCGUGUGAUGCUUCCUCACCCCAGGGGAUGCAGCAAGGAGCCGAUGAGGCCUCCAUUAGCUGGAAGACGCUCCAAAGCUGUCCUCCGGGGGCCUGGAGCCACAGGAGGCGCCAUCCUUAGGAGCAGCUAUAGAAGGUUCUUGUUUUGUUUUCCACUUCCUUAGAGCUGUGGUAGAAAAGCAAGCAAGCAGAGCCUGUGUGUGCACGCCCACGAGCACACGUGCAUGUGUGCAUCUCUUAAUAUCCACCUUGACCUCGCCCUGCGGGAAGCCAGCCGAACUGUCCUGUGAGCGGCCCUGGAGAGACCCACGUGCUUGUGGUGGUGUCUGCACAUAUAAAAGAAGUAGCCACCUCUUCCAGUAUUUAUGGACAGGAUUUGGGAAGAAAAGACCUUCAUCAGACAGCCUGCCUAAAGAUUCUGGAGAUCUCUCAAACCUUUUCUAUGGACCACUCCACUUCCACUACAUUCUGGGGAGCUGCUCUCCGAUGAUCCAAGCCAUACCAAUUUCCUCAGUGCUCUAAUGUGCCAAGUUUGACUGAUGCUGGAUUUUGUGGUCCACUGGGGUGCUGAUACCUUCAACUGAACUCCAGAGCUCUCAAAAAGUAACGGAUCCAAGGCUGGACAUGUGACCUGGGCCCAGCAAACCCAUGCCAGGACUUGCCACAGAACUUUUGUGAACGAGAACCUCUCUUCCCUUGGGGAGCUGUUGGGGCUACCACCCACAACAAACUGACUAGACAGUGAGGCCAACAUGGAAGGCAGAGGGCGAAGGGCCUUCAAAUGCAUCAUCUCCUGGGAUCCACGGAGGGACAGGUGGCUGGGUCAAGGUCACACAGGCUACUGAGGCACAGCAGACCUGCGGACAAAGGUCUUCCUACUACAACCCCGGGUUUGAUGCAUCACCAGAGGCAGGUUUCCUCAGGAGCCACGGAGGCUGAAGCCGAAGAGCCCUCACUUGUGUGACCCUUUCUUUGAUCUGACACGUAAUUCUGGGUUCUUUUUCUUAAAAAGUGCCACCCAAAAAUAUAUAAGUUCUACGCUCUAGGCCCACAAGGCAUGGAUCAGCCCCAAUCCCCAGCCACACCCGAGGCUGUUUUCCCACUCCUUUCUCCCCAUCUUUCAAGAACCCCAAACCCACAGGGCGUUGUCACAGACUUGAAAUAGCUACUCAAAGCCUCUGCUGCCAGAACGUCUCUGCUCGUCCUUAUCUGCAGUUUCCUCCCCAUUACUGAUGAUUUAGACACUUGUUAUGUAAAUGACAUCUACAGAGACCCAUUCUGUGAAAUGCUUACAGGACUCUUUUAACGUCUUCAUCAUUUUAAAAAUAAAACCAAAUCCUCCUGCUUCUCCCUGGGCCAGUUUCUGGGAGUCCACAAUCCCUUGGGCCAUCUCAGGGACCUCUUUCCCAUGCCUUCUAACCUGUCAGGGUUGGACGAGGGCUG